rnacentral:tRNA from 1 species
AGCUUUGUAGUUUAAAUAAAACACCAAUUUUGUAAAUUGUGAAUAAGACAAAAAUCUUUUUAGCUA